UACAGAGGUCUCAAGCGUUGUUCGGAUUUAUUGGGCGUAAAGAGCUCGUAGGUGGUUCGGUAAGUCGGAUGUGAAAUCUCCAGGCUCAACCUGGAGGGGUCAUUCGAUACUGCCGUGACUAGAGGUCGGUAGGGGAGUGUGGAAUUCCUGGUGGAGCGGUGAAAUGCGCAGAUAUCAGGAGGAACACCCGUAGCGAAGGCGGCACUCUGGGCCGAUACUGACACUGAGGAGCGAAAGCGUGGGGAGCGAACAGG
rnacentral:rRNA from 1 species